rnacentral:rRNA from 1 species
AUGAUGCAGGUCAUAGACUUCCACCAGACACUUGAAGUUAAUGGCAUACGCUUCUGGUGCUAUACUGCUGGCCAUGUACUUGGUGCUGCCAUGUUCAUGGUGGAUAUUGCCGGUGUUCGCAUUCUUUACACCGGUGACUACUCCCGUGAAGAAGACCGGCACCUGAAAGCUGCUGAGAUCCCCCAGUUCUCCCCUGAUAUUUGCAUUAUUGAGUCAACUUAUGGCGUGCAGCAACACCAACCCCGCCAUGUCAGAGAAAAGCGCUUCACUGAUGCCAUCCACAACACUGUUUCUCAAGGGGGGCGUGUUCUUAUCCCGGCAUAUGCUCUUGGCGCCGUGGCACGGCCACACAUGGAGGGCCAGGGCGAAGACAAGGCCACGGUGGUGCAGCAUGUGGUCCACAUCGCCGGCAAGAAGAACCACCACGAGGUCGAGUCACGCUUUAGGAGAAGAGAGAGGGAGAGGUCGAGUCAUGUGCAAACAACAUCAAAAGUAGGUUACAAUGGCCUCAAACGAGAAAUUUUCACAUACCUAGAGGACCUCACCUUCUUGGUGCUCCUUGCUUACAUAAGGUACUCCUAG